rnacentral:rRNA from 1 species
AUUGAACGCUGGCGGCAGGCCUAACACAUGCAAGUCGAGCGGAUGAAGGGAGCUUGCUCCUGGAUUCAGCGGCGGACGGGUGAGUAAUUCCUAGGAAUCUGCCUGGUAGUGGGGGAUAACGUCCGGAAACGGGCGCUAAUACCGCAUACGUCCUGAGGGAGAAAGUGGGGGAUCUUCGGACCUCACGCUCUCAGAUGAGCCUAGGUCGGAUUAGCUAGUUGGUGGGGUAAAGGCCUACCAAGGCGACGAUCCGUAACUGGUCUGAGAGGAUGACCAGUCACACUGGAACUGAGACACGGUCCAGACUCCUACGGGAGGCAGCAGUGGGGAAUAUUGGACAAUGGGCGAAAGCCUGAUCCAGCCAUGCCGCGUGUGUGAAGAAGGUCCGCGGAUUGUAAAGCACUUUAAGUGGGGAAGAAGGGCAGUAAGUUAAUACCUUGCUGUUUUGACGUUACCAACAGAAUAAGCACCGGCUAACUUCGUG